GUGGGGCACGUGGCUCAGGGACUAACGCGGUGAUGGAUUUCAGAGCCCAGCAGUGAGGGCCCUUAUGCUCCUUGCAGUCAGCGAUCUGAGAAGCCCAUUCUCGUGUCCACGAUCACAGCAGACAAUCGUAGCGCUCUAAACCUGUAGCUGAACUCAAAGUGCUUUAGAAUCAAGUCUCAUCCACCAUUCCAACUAGUGAAAGGCAAAAAGCCUGCUAGAUUCUUGAACACUAUUCGUGCAAAGGGGAGGCUCGUCUCCACAAUAUUUUGGCCAUGGCUCGUUAUCUUUAAAAUCAUUAUUUUUAUCGAUUAAACCCAUUUCUAACAUCUGUUAUGCUAAUUAACAAAACUUCUGAUGUUGAAUGGAGAGAAAGAUAACGAAAAUGCUGUCUCUGGAGUGUGACCUCUGACUAAACACCCUCGACUCAACGCUGGCUGAAUGCCCUCAGACAGUGUCUUCCUGCUUACAGCAACUAGACAUCCCAGGGCAGAGGACAAGUACACUAAUGAAGACUCACAGAGCUCACUGAUCUAGACCGAAUCACGGUAUAGCAAACUGGAGAUGCCACAGUUAUGAACAGAAGCAAGCAGAGGAUGAAGCUGAUGGUGUCCAUGUUAGGAAAAGAGGCUGGACCUGUAUGUGCUUUACGUAUCCGAGGUACGCGUGGAGAGUAGCUGGAUUAGGUUUAGAGAAAAGUUGCAAGAUGGUACAGAUUCUCAUAUGCCUUUCACCCAGCUUCCCCUGAUGUCGUCUUACAUCACCGAGGUGCACUUGUCAACCCCAAGAAAUGAAGCCGGGCACGUUACUAUUAACUAGACUGCGGCGUGAUUCGGAUGUCCUCCGUUCUUCCCCCGUGUCCUUGUUUCCGAUCUAGGAUCCAGUCCACCUCACCACCUUGCGGCCACUCGUCGUGGCUCCUUAGUCUCCUCUGACCUGUGACGCUUCCUCUGUCUUUCAUAACCUUGACUGUGAUACGAAUCAGG
rnacentral:lncRNA from 1 species